rnacentral:rRNA from 1 species
UACGUAGGGUGCGAGCGUUAAUCGGAAUUACUGGGCGUAAAGUGUGCGCAGGCGGCAGAGCAAGUCGAGUGUGAAAGCCCCGGGCUUAACUUGGGAAUUGCGCUCGAAACUACUUUGCUGGAGUGUGGCAGAGGAAGGUGGAAUUCCACGUGUAGCGGUGAAAUGCGUAGAGAUGUGGAGGAACACCAAUGGCGAAGGCAGCCUCCUGGGCCAACACUGACACUCAUGCACGAAAGCGUGGGGAGCAAACAGG